AUGAACGCUGGCGGCGUGCCUAAUACAUGCAAGUCGAGCGAACAGACGAGGAGCUUGCUCCUCUGACGUUAGCGGCGGACGGGUGAGUAACACGUGGAUAACCUACCUAUAAGACUGGGAUAACUUCGGGAAACCGGAGCUAAUACCGGAUAAUAUAUUGAACCGCAUGGUUCAAUAGUGAAAGACGGUUUUGCUGUCACUUAUAGAUGGAUCCGCGCCGCAUUAGCUAGUUGGUAAGGUAACGGCUUACCAAGGCAACGAUGCGUAGCCGACCUGAGAGGGUGAUCGGCCACACGGGAACUGAGACACGGUCCAGACUCCUACGGGAGGCAGCAGUAGGGAAUCUUACGCAAUGGGCGAAAGCCUGACGGAGCAACGCCGCGUGAGUGAUGAAGGUCUUCGGAUCGUAAAACUCUGUUAUUAGGGAAGAACAAAUGUGUAAGUAACUAUGCACGUCUUGACGGUACCUAAUCAGAAAGCCACGGCUAACUACGUG
rnacentral:rRNA from 1 species